AAAGAUCAGUCUUUAAACUUUUUCAUUUGCUUCCUUCUUUUGAGUGUCAAGAGCUUAUCGUGUCAUUCAGCAGAAUAGGGAGACUUCAUCUAAAAUUGGAAAAUGAAAAUGACCUUUGAGCAAACUAUUGUUUUGCAAAUCUUCACCCCUCGUUGAUUCACACACCACCUUCGCUUCCUCAGAAAUGCCCUUGACAGCAAUGGAAAGAAAGGGGACAUACCGCAGUUUCAAUUGUUGUGGGACUCAGGUUUUCUCUCAGCACUGCGUACACACUUGGUGACAUGGGAAGAAGGUCUGUUGGAGAAUGUGUCUCCGUUGAAUCACUUCGGCUUAAAGAGAUGACAGGGCAUAGAGGUGAAGUUGGUGCCACUCCUAUUAGAAAGGAGAAAACCGAAACUCUACCAGUGGCUGAGAGGCUCCCAUGGCCAUGGUGAAGUCCGUCUACAGCUACUGAUUACUAAGUGCUCUGCUAGCUGGACAGCCCCAGCUGUUCCUUUUCAGAAACUGCUGACACACCACUUCAUUUCUAAGGCUUUGACCUCCACAUACCUCUUAGAUCUUAUAACGAUAAAAGUAAACAUAAAGGGAAGAACUUCAUUUACUUUACUCCAAUCUGAGAUUAUUUUCCAAAAUCUUAAGAAGCAAAGCAAACGGAAAGAACCUAACCUUCACAUGGCUGGCAGCUGUAGUGUUUACCGAAGGCUUUGUCUUUGGGAAUAUCAGGAUAGAGGUACUUCAGAGGGUUUUCAGGAAUGUUUUCAGCCAUAAUAACCUUGUAGUCUCGAAGGAUGUCAGCGAAUGGCAGAGCAGACAACCGGCCUUUGUUGUAAGGCUCUACAGAGUGGAAUCUCACUUCUCCUGGAAAAAGAGAAAACAGAGAGAAUAUUCAGGUUCCUGCAGGCAUUCUUUGUGGCCAUUCUUCCUACCCACGUUAUCUUCAUGUCACUUGUUGCAAAACAAUGCCAGCCCUUCUCUGCAUGUGGACAGUACAGAUCGCCACGUGAUACAGGACACCCACAUAGGCUGUGAGAAAUUCAUGCUACCCUCCUCUGAAACAACUGUAACAACUAAUAUUCAAGCCCACUGAACACAUAAAAGACAGAACAGCAAGCCACACACUUCUGAAGAUGGAAAGACCAGUAACCAAACACAAUACUAAUUUCACAUGAAUAAAUAAUAGUGAGCAUGUACCAUUUUCAGAAUGGUCCACCCAGGUGAAAGUUAUUCCUCCAAGGUGGCUUUCACUGAAUCUUAACAAAAAGGUUCCCGGCAUUUUAUCCUUUAGCAAGAGUCGUUCCUUCUCUUUGCUAACAAAGCCCAUGACAUACCUAAAAAUAGAACAUGCAUAGUUUUAUCUGAUCAAAGAUUAUAAUUUAUUGCAUUUGCAUUUAUUGCUUUCACAAAGAACAGACCUGAAUUUGUUGUGAUAUAAUCAAAAGUCAGUAGUGCCUGAAAUACUCUUAUACACAUUAAAGUAAAUAUUAAUACUCUAUAAAGUGUAAGAAACUGCAACUACUUUCCACACUAUGACACUAGAUAUGCUUAAAAAGGAAAGAAAAGAAAAAGGGACUACUAUAAAUAAUGCAGUUAUGAACACUGGGGUGACGUGUCUUUUCAAAUUAGAGUUUUUAUCUUUUCUGGAUAUAUGCCCAGGAGUGGGAUUGCUGGAUCAUAUGGUAACUCUUUUUUUUUUUAAAGAACCUCUGUACUGUUCUCCAUAGUGGCUGCACCAAUUUACAUUCCUACCAAUAGUGUACAAGGGUUCCCGUUUCUCCACACCCUCUCCAGCAUUUAUUAUUAAUGUUCAUAGCAGCCCUAUUUACAACAGGCAAGGUAUGGAGGCAACCUAAGUGUCCAUCAACUGAUAAUUGGCUUAAGAAGAUGUAGUAUAUAUACACAAUGGAAGCUUAGCCAUAAAAAAGAAUGAAAUAUUGCCAUUUGCAGCAACAUAGAUGGACCUAGAGGAUAUCAUACUAAGUGAAGUCAGACAGAGAAAGACAAAUAUUAUAUGAUAUCACUAAUAUGUGGAAUCUAAAAAAUAAUACGAAUGAAUUUAUUUACAAAACAGAAACAGACUCUCAGACAUAGAAAACAAACUAAUGGUUACCAAAGGGGAAUGGGGGUUGGAGGGAGGGAUAAAUUAGGAUUUAUGUUGGGAUUAACAUAUACACACUACUGUAUAUAAAAUAGAUAACCAACAAGGACCUACUGUAUAGCACAGGAAACUAUACGCAAUGCUUUUUAAUAACCUAUAAGGUAAAAGGAUCUAAAAAGGAAUAUAUAUAUACACAUAUAUAUGUAUAUGUAUGUAUAACUGAAUCACUGUGCUGUACACCUGAAACUAACACAAUAUUGUAAAUCAACUAUACUUCAAUGUUUUUGAAAAGGGAAAAAAAUUGACAGCAUAAAAAUAAGAACCUAAUGAGUUCAUAUAGAAAAUAUAGGCUGUAACUCACCCAUCAAUCCAAAGGGGAAGAAUGUGUUUCUUAAUUAGGUCUAAUAUUGCUUCAAGCCAUGUCCAAAAGGUAAAUGAUUUACCAGGUAAGUGCUCCUAUUGGAAUAAACAAACAUGUUAGGACAAUGAUUAUUUCAAUAGUAAUGUUAGUAUGGUAAUUCAAGUUCCUUUUUUCAAUGAAAUAUUUCCUUUAAAUGAAAAAACAGUUUCGAGUUUCUUCUUAAAAUAACCUUAUCCAGGAAAUCCUCGAAAUCCCAAAUUAUAAUAUGGAGGCUUAAAAAGGAAUACUAAAAAAAAAUCUAAAUGAUGCUACCCCUCCCCCUGUUUGUACCUUGCAGAACUUGGCCCACGUGAGAUGACCAUCACUGUAGCUAGACUGGACUAAAAUGAAAGAAAAGAAUGAGAUUUUUAUUAAACAAUUAGACUCCUCAAUUUGGUGCUCAAUUUAGAUCUCCCCCCCCCCCACCACUGCUAAGCAUUUCCUAAGCACGUGCUAUGGGUUUACAGUGUAUUUAAUGCUAGAAACAGUAAAAAUAAAAGAUAUCAUGAAAUUUUUUUAUCUAGGAAAGAAUUCUUUUCAAUGGAGGAGCUAAAGAUAGCCUUAGGAAGUGGGUGGGUGUCUAGAACAAGACCUCCAUGAAUGGAUAGGAUAUAAAUUGUCAGAGGCGAAGGAAGAGGCCACUCCAGUAGCAAGAAUAAUGUAGGAUGAGGUGUAGUGGAUAUGAACACAGCUUAUAUAGGAGAAAGGAAGUGCAGCCUAAUGUUGGUAAACAAACAUUAUAAAAUAAAUUUGUGAAAGCCAGAAUGCCAGAAGUCUUGAAUACUGUCAUGAAAAGAAUGAACUAGAGAUCCACUUGGCGAUAAGGAACCACUGACUGUUUUUUUUGUUUUUUUUUUUCCACUGACUGUUUUGAUCCAGGACAAUGAAAAAAGAGGUUCUAUCUAAAAUUUAAGGAAAUUAUGAGAAAAAUUUGAUGAAGACCCGAAAGGAUAUGGCUGCUAUUUAUACUGUAUAUAUUUAAAAGAUUUAUUCACUCAGUAACAAAUACUUAUUGAAUGCCUACUCUUGUGGUUUAUGAAUUAAAUAAGGAUCAAAAAGGA